GAUUAACGCUGGCGGCGUGCCUAACACAUGCAAGUCGAGCGGCAGCGAGUUUUACACUGAAUUCUGGAAGCUUCUAGUUGAAAGAGAAGAUUUAUUCAAGAAUUUUGUGUAAAAUGUCGGCGAGCGGCGGACGGCUGAGUAACGCGUGGGAACGUACCCCAAAGUGAGGGAUAACGCAUCGAAAGGUGUGCUAAUACCGCAUAUGGUCUUCGGAUUAAAGCCUUCGGGCGCUUUGGGAACGGCCUGCGUAAGAUUAGAUAGUUGGUGGGGUAAUGGCCUACCAAGUCGACGAUCUUUAACUGGUUUGGGAGGAUGAUCAGUCAGACUGGAACUGAGACACGGUCCAGACUCCUACGGGAGGCAGCAGUGAGGAAUCUUCCACAAUGGGCGAAAGCCUGAUGGAGCAACGCCGCGUGCAGGAUGAAGGCCUUCGGGUUGUAAACUGCUUUUAUAAGUGAGGAUUAUGACAGUAACUUAUGAAUAAGGAUCGGCUAACUACGUG
rnacentral:rRNA from 1 species